CUACAGGAAGUGCUGAGGAAGGAAGAAGGACACCGUGGAUCAUGGUGGAAGGCCCACGUGGACGCAAAGCAGCAAGCACAGACACAGCACAUGACCCCAGGAGCUGCAUCAGCUUUGGAGACUGUCGGACACAUUGCUGGGGAAAGCCAGACAUGAGCCUCCUUCAGCACCGGACACAGCCUAGGAUCCUGCUGGGCUCAGGACCUCCCCUCCCAUCUCUAGUCCCACGAGGAAUGUUUGUUCCCGUUCUCUGCUGGGGGAGUUUUUUCAUGGCGGGGCCUCAUCCUCGACGAAGCUGUGGGACUCAGAGCCAGGCUCUGUGUGGCCCGACGAUCCUGCUGACCCUGGCCUCCUGCAGACCAUGGGCCGCCAUACCCCUGGCCGCAUUUCCAGCUUUUCAAGUGGGAAGAAACCACCCCGCGUCCCAGGACUUGCACUUCUGUGGGCCAUCCUCAGCAAGACAUUUUCAUGGAUAUGAAACUGGACACCGAGUUGACGCUGAAGUUCAGCUGCUGGGUAAUCUUCCAUUUCUGGAGCUUGCUCAGCUUCCUUGUAAAACCCAGCUGUGCCUUCACCCUGGACAGGAGCAUCUGACAUUUUCAUGGAUAUGAAACUGGACACCGAGUUGACGCUGCAGUUCAGCUGCUGGGUAAUCUUCCAUUUCUGGAACCUCCUUGGCUUCCUGGUAAAACCCAGCUGUGCCUUCACCCUGGACAGGAGCAACUGGGCACGGAUGUGAAACUAACCCAGAGUGGACGGUGAAGCGCAACUGCCGGGUGUUCUUCCAGUUCCAGAGACUGCAUGGUGUCCUGCUCAAUGCCAGCUGGACCUUCUUCCUGGAGAAGAGCAACUGGUUCAGAGGCAGCACGGGUGGGCAGCAGCUCAGCCAUGAGGAAGCAAAGAAGCAGAUG